AUAAUCGUUGGCAGCACAUAUACUGAGAUUGGAACAAUACAGAGAAGCUUAGCGUGGCCCCUGUGCAAGCAUGACACACACAUUCUUGAAGCAUGCCAUAACCAC